UUGAACGCUGGCGGCAGGCCUAACACAUGCAAGUCGAGCGGAUGAAGGGAGCUUGCUCCUGGAUUCAGCGGCGGACGGGUGAGUAAUGCCUAGGAAUCUGCCUGGUAGUGGGGGAUAACGUCCGGAAACGGGCGCUAAUACCGCAUACGUCCUGAGGGAGAAAGUGGGGGAUCUUCGGACCCCACGCUAUCAGAUGAGCCUAGGUCGGAUUAGCUAGUUGGUGGGGUAAAGGCCUACCAAGGCGACGAUCCGUAACUGGUCUGAGAGGAUGAUCAGUCACACUGGAACUGAGACACGGUCCAGACUCCUACGGGAGGCAGCAGUGGGGAAUAUUGGACAAUGGGCGAAAGCCUGAUCCAGCCAUGCCGCGUGUGUGAAGAAGGUCUUCGGAUUGUAAAGCACUUUAAGUUGGGAGGAAGGGCAGUAAGUUAAUACCUUGCUGUUUUGACGUUACCAACAGAAUAAGCACCGGCUAACUUCGUG
rnacentral:rRNA from 1 species